rnacentral:rRNA from 1 species
GGAACCUGGCCGGCGUGCUUACCAUGCAAGUCGAACGGUGAUGGGGAGCUUGCUUCUCUGAUCAGUGGCGAACGGGUGAGUAACACGUGAGCAAUCUGCCCUUGACUCUGGGAUAACUGCGGGAAACUGUAGCUAAUACCGGAUACGACCUGAAGAGGCAUCUUUUUGGGUGGAAAGAAUUUUGGUCAAGGAUGAGCUCGCGGCCUAUCAGCUUGUUGGUGAGGUAAUGGCUCACCAAGGCGACGACGGGUAGCCGGCCUGAGAGGGUGACCGGCCACACUGGGACUGAGACACGGCCCAGACUCCUACGGGAGGCAGCAGUGGGGAAUAUUGCACAAUGGGCGCAAGCCUGAUGCAGCAACGCCGCGUGAGGGACGAAGGCCUUCGGGUUGUAAACCUCUUUUAGUAGGGAAGAAGCGACUGGGUUUUCCUGGGAGUGACGGUACCUGCAGAAAAAGCACCGGCUAACUACGUGCCAGCAGCCGCGGUAAUACGUAGGGUGCAAGCGUUGUCCGGAAUUAUUGGGCGUAAAGAGCUCGUAGGCGGUUUGUCGCGUCUGCUGUGAAAACCCGAGGCUCAACCUCGGGCCUGCAGUGGGUACGGGCAGACUAGAGUGCGGUAGGGGAGAUUGGAAUUCCUGGUGUAGCGGUGGAAUGCGCAGAUAUCAGGAGGAACACCAAUGGCGAAGGCAGAUCUCUGGGCCGUAACUGACGCUGAGGAGCGAAAGCAUGGGGAGCGAACAGGAUUAGAUACCCUGGUAGUCCAUGCCGUAAACGUUGGGAACUAGAUGUGGGGACCAUUCCACGGUCUCCGUGUCGCAGCUAACGCAUUAAGUUCCCCGCCUGGGGAGUACGGCCGCAAGGCUAAAACUCAAAGGAAUUGACGGGGGCCCGCACAAGCGGCGGAG